CGGGGGCCCGGCCGGGGGCGGGGAGGUCGCGGGUCUGGCGGGAGCUGCGGCUGCGAGACCCGCCCCCCGGGCCACGCGAUGCCGGCUCCGAAGGCUCCGGGGAAGGACAGGUCUGCUGCGAAUCCUUGGACGCUAGGCUGUUCAGAACGUGUCUUUUCUCCAGUUCCCUCUUUUUACCCAAGGUGGGGAUUCCCCGGGUGCCCGGUGGCAGUCAAACAAAAAGUCCCCCGUCGAGGAGCUGUGAUCCGAGGACAUAGGAGCUCUCCGGUCCAACAUCCUUUAACGUCCUAAGAGACUCAUUGUUUUGUGAUUGCUUCGGAUGCUUCGUGUGCAUCCUUCCCCCACCCACUUAAAGAAAAAAAGUUGUGUACCUCCUCCAUCCUCCCACUUUCAAAAUUCAUUUACCUCAUAGAAGUUAGUCAAAUUUUCCAUUUAAAGGAGACAGUUUUAUGCCAUAGCUUCAAGUAAUAAAUUUGAACACUGUGUUGAAA